CAGCCGGGCCCUGCAAGCACGUGACCAAGCGUGUUUACGCCAUCACGUAGAGUCCCAGAGUACCGCUGUUUGAGAGACGUGGCCUGGAGUCAGGACUGGGAGUGGGAUCUAAUUUGUAAACCCCUGGGAGGAUGAUCACAGACGUACAGCUAGCGAUCUUUGCCAACAUGCUGGGGGUAUCCCUUUUCCUCCUUGUUGUCCUGUACCAUUAUGUUGCUGUUAACAAUCCCAAGAAGCUGGAGUAAUGGAAUGGCACAGGAGCAUAGUACUGUAACAGUGUGAAGAUUAGGACCAAAAAUAAAUUGAUUACUUUGAAAGAUGGAAGCCAACUUAAAUGAAACACAAUGCCCAUUGGACUUCGCCAGUACCACAGUGACUAACAACUGCAUUAAUCGUGUUUUGUACUAAGAAAUAUGCCUUGUCAAUAAAUAUUUGACUUGAAAAACUACUCUUCCUUGUGAUUCCUUUAAAAUUAUCUGCACAAAAUUUUUGAGUAAAUAGGGAAAGGGAUGUUUGCUAUCCUGCUUCCAAUCAAACACUAUUAAAUAAUGUGGAUGCUUUGAUAUGUGGUAUUUACAGUAUGAUAAAAGACAGCACCUAAAAAAGGCCUUAUGCAGCUCUGACAUCCAAGGUACUGUAAUGCCAGCUUAUGAUCAUAAACUAAUUUAGUAAAACUCAUUUCUGUAGCAAUCAUACUGUGGUAUAUGGGAUAUUUGCUUUGUGAGAAGUUAUGUAACCCCAUAAUUAUUGUGAAAUGUGGCUCAUAAACCUUAAUCUUUACAAGAUGCAUGACAAAUUAAUCUUUGAUAUAUGAAAUUCCAUUUUCUUCCCUCACUGAGGGUGGUAAAUACUUCUGAUUUAUUUGCCCCCUCUUUCUACAAAUUUCUUACUGCCACAAGUUACAGAAGCUCUUUUGUUAAUCUAUGUCCCUUUAAAGCUGGUUUUCAUCUUUGAAGCAAAUCUUCAACAUUCAUACAAUCUGAAGAUUAUUUUUUUUUAUGUUCAGUAUUUUCACAGUCUUUGGAAAACUAGCUGCAGAAAGAGAACAAAAGAUGACAUUUACUGGGUCUUUUGUCAGCACAUAGUAUUUUGUUUUAUUUUAUCUGACCUGUUUUGUGUUUAGCUAAUAAAGCAUUGGUCUGAAUUAAAUUGGAAAUAUUUGGGGUUAACUACCUUCAAACAUUGUGAGAAGCAGAUUUUUAUUGUGGCUAGAGUAAAAUUCUUUAAUUAUUUUAAAUUAUGUGAUGAUCUCUGAUUAUAGACUUGAGAGUACCACAAACAAUGGCAGUUUUGAGUUUCUUAAAAUUUUAAUGAUUUGAAUUAGAAUUUUGAGACAUUUGAGGUGAUUCUGUUUGUUCAAUUAUCUUAUAUUGGAAACCUUUUUUCAAAAAAAUACUAAAAUGUUUAAAAACUAUUAGUAUUUAAUCUAAAAUGCUGUCUUCCUAGUUAAGAAUUUUUAAAAAAGUUAAUAACGAUAUCAAUGAUUUCUGCCAUUUUAGCACUUUUUCAGUUCCUAAGGGUAAAAACUUCCAAUAUUUCAAAGGUACAAAGACUUGGGGGGAAAAUGUAAAAUAGCAUUUGAUUCUUUUCGAUUGGCAAAGUUUUUUUUAAAUUUCGGUGGUGACAUAUCACAGAAUCAGAAUCACAGAAUCGCUCAGUGCAGAAAAGGCCCUUUGGGCCAUCGAGUCUGCACCAACACAUGAGAAACACCUGACCUACCUACCUAAUCCAAUUUACAUGCAGCAGCACAUCGGACCAAUUCUCAAGGAAUUCUUAAGGAGUCAGUCCUUACCGCUGACAGCUUUUUUUUUAGUUUGCCACACAACUUUGCUGAAUGUAAAUGUAUACGUUGGGCAUUAAUAAAUUUUAAGUUUCUACAUUGACAGAAGGAAAUUGAUUUGCCAAGUUAACCCCUUGAGCUCUUAAGCAGGGCUGCACUGGAUUCUCUGGUUUUCUUUUAAACAGGUGAUCCUGGUUUUCUGGACUGCAUGGAUGCUGAUGGCGUAGCCAGAGAUCCAGCAGAUUUAAGAACUUAUGCACAGACAUUUAAUGUCAUAGCAUGAUGACAAUUUGGACUUGAGACUGACUUGUACUAAGGCUAUAAGAAUACAGGUUUGAGAAACUAGAGCAAACGCAAAAAUUGACCAAGUUUUAUUAGCUUGCUUCAUAAUGUCAAAAGACCUUUUCAAAGUAAAAACUGCUGAAUGUUGCAAGCUAUUUCUCGCAGAUAAGGAAGCCCUUGGCCAGGAGUGAACUGCUGAGACUAACUGGUACAAGAUAAUCCCAAGUCUGAUCAGGUGAUUGAGAGUGGGAAACAGCUCUCAUUGAUCAGGAACUGAACUGAAGGAGAGCUUUUACUUGGAUUUAGACAAAGGACCCAAAAACUAUUAGACGUUUUGUAUUAAGAACUUUUCUAGGACAUUAAGGUCCACUCCUGGAAAAAAGAUGUAAAAGGCAUAAGGCUGUUGCUGCUGCAGUCAGGAGGGCAACUUGUUCAGGUGCCUGUUAACUAAAUCGAGUCACUGCAGAACUGACCACUCGCUUGUGUUUACACCCAUGAGGCUUUUGCUUACAGUGCCUUGAGCUUAAAGGGGUAAAUCUGUGCAUGUUUAUGUAUAUUCUGGGAAUACUGUGUGACAUGUACUAUCAGAUGUUUGUAAUCGCUUGCUGAUUUUUAAUUAAAAAUAACAUUUCAGAAA